GUUGAUUUCAUUAAAAAAGAAUGUACACUUUGAUCAAAUAAAGAUUCUUUCCGAAAUCUUGAAAAGCAAUAAAAAAUGUUUUGACACAUCUCAUUGCUACAACUAAUUUUAUCUUGGGAAAACACAGAAUCACACAAUGUCAAGUUAUCGGUUAUUUAUGUGAAGAGUUGGUGGUUGAAAUCUUGAUAAGACUACCUCCCAAAUCCCCCUUAAGGUCCUCGUGCAAGAAAAUAUUUGAACUGAACCCCAGAAUUUUAUAUCCUGUAAAAAAAAACCAUUAAGAUUUAUCUCACCAUUAACUAACAUUUACGAUGAAUAGUUAGCAACAUCAAUUUGCGAUUGAUUAUCUAUAAUUCUAUUCGCUACAAAUCAACACCGACAGUACUAUCGGCAAGAUCAAUAAAAAAGAGACACCGGCGAACGUAAACAAAGGAACCGGUCAACGGUUGCAGCCGAACCCAUACCAUCGACAACUGUAACUAUAUCCACGGCUAGAUCUCCGAAAUUGGUGGAUCCAGUGAUGGGGUUUUCUUGAUGAAUGUCACAGAUGGUGGGAGCUUUGGACUUUGAUCACCAGAUUUCGCCAUCAAUCAGGGUUUGGGCAUCUUUGGUGAUAUCGAAGAUUUACAGGGGAAGAACUUGCUUCGAUCUCACUCACUUUCUCCCUCUAACUCUUUCUCUCUAUCUCACCCACAACGGAAGAACAAACAAACGCCAUCGCAGGAGGACUUCCGAUUGACAAAUUCUCCGAGACGAUCGAAUGGUGUCGAGGUGUUUGGGUAUAAACUGAAUAAACGGAUUUCAAAGAGGAGGUACACGUGUAACAUCAAAUUCAAGAUAAAUGUUACCAUGCGGACUGAAACUAACAUGGACAGGGUGUUGACGAGCAAAUCGAUAAAUGGAAUUAAAUGAGGUGAUGAAGAUGAACAAGAAGUUGCUGAUUGGUAUCAUUGUUGAUCAAUUGUGUGUUUGAUUCUAAUGGGCUUUAAGGUUUAGUUCAUCUACCUUGCUUUUAUAAGGAAAAGAAAUGGAAAAAGAAUCCGUGGGGUUUGCUUCUUCUUUAAUAUACUGUGGUGUGUUCUUUUCCAUCAGCAACCAUUUUGAUUUUAAUUUUAUAUUCACAUGAUGUCGAUAAGAUUAAACAACAGGGGAUCAUUCAACUUUCAAAUUGAUACUAUGUUUUAUGUGUGUGGAGUUUUCUUA
rnacentral:lncRNA from 1 species